rnacentral:rRNA from 1 species
GUCCACGCCGUAAACGAUGGGCACUAGGUGUUGCGGGUAUUGACCCCUGCAGUGCCGAAGCUAACGCAUUAAGUGCCCCGCCUGGGGAGUACGGUCGCAAGACUAAAACUCAAAGGAAUUGACGGGGGCCCGCACAAGCGGUGGAGCAUGUGGUUUAAUUCGACGCAACGCGAAGAACCUUACCUGGGCUUGACAUCCCGAUCGUACCUGCUGGAAACAGCGGGGUCAGUUCGGCUGGAUCGGAGACAGGUGCUGCAUGGCUGUCGU